GCUGACCUAGCUCCGUGGGGCAGCAAAAACGCCUUGUUCGAGCCACCCAUCCUUGGGCCUGCCUUCAUCUGCGAUGUCAGCACCAAUGUAUUAUUUUUUAUUUUUACAACGCAUCCUGGGCGGGUGUAUGCAUUGCGGGGGUGGGGGUUGAGCAGAGGAGAGGAGGGGUUGGUAGUGAAGCCUAGAACCCUCCUUCCUCUCCCUUCCUGCCAGGGUUGCUGUGCAGGGAGUGUCGGCCACAUUUGGCGCACUGUCCCAGGCCCGGGCGAAGAUGGCCAGGGGAAAUGGGGCUUAGGGAUUGCUAAGCAAACGGCACCACUGGUGGUCUACUACCGUCAGCAGAGGUUUCAAAUUAUAGUUACACAGCCUGCCCCUACAAAGAGGUUAAAGAGAAAUUCACCCAAAUGUUCUUCCAGAACGUGAGGAAACAUUUUUAAAAAGAAAUAGAAAGCUGUAACAAGGACAUGGGCAUUCUGGAGGUCAUGAUUCCCACUAACGUUGCUUUUGUCCUCAGAACACGGAGAGUGCAUAUAGUUUUUAUGGCCUAGCUCAGGACUUCAUUUACACUUGCAAGUCUUAUUUCUGUUUCAUAAAUGUGUGAGUAUUCUCUCCUCAGUUUACACUGUGAAUUUCUUGAGGUCAAA
rnacentral:lncRNA from 1 species